rnacentral:misc_RNA from 1 species
GUAGGUGAACCUGCGGAAGGAUCAUUAACUAUAUUCAAAAUAUACCUUUGUGAAUAGAGGCCGCUAUGGCCUUGCGCAUAUCUUGGGAUAUGUGAUAUAUACAUUAACGAGUCAGAGUCAUUAAAAAAAUACAUAAACAAUUUUUAACAAUGGAUCUCUAGGCUCUUGCAUCGAUGAAGAACGCAGCAUCUGACUGACUAAGAUUCG